rnacentral:tRNA from 1 species
AGCUCAGUUGGUAGAGCAUCAGAUUCCCAACCCGAAGGUC